UUUUUGGUAUGUCUUUACGCCUGUCUCGAUUGCAUGCUCCUUGGUUCUCUACUCCAUUUAUUCCUUGUUUAUUUCUUGUUUAUUUCAUGUUUUUCUCUUCUAUUCAGUUUCCUGUUUUUGUUUCGUUUGUUAGCCUUCCUGGUUAUUUAUGUAUUUCUGAUAUUUGUUUAUUUUGGUUUGUUCGUUUUUUCUUAGUUUAUUAAUAAUUUCCCUAUUACCGACACUUGUGUCCACUCUCCUCGUCUGUCCCUGGUAACUCUGAGUGAGUUUGAACACUAAACUCUUAUGUGUUCAUAGUAAGGUGAGGUGAAUUAUGGGAGUUGUAGUGAGAGCUGAUAAUAGUCGGUGCAGGUGAAUUAUGGGAGUUGUAAUGAGGGCUGAUAAUAGUGGGUGCAGGUGAAUUAUGGGAGUUGUAGUGAGGGCUGAUAAUAGUAGGUGCAGGUGAAUUAUGGGAGUUGUAGUGAGGGCUGAUAAUAGUGGGUGCAGGUGAAUGAUGGGAGUUGUAGUGAGGGCUGAUAAUAGUGGGUGCAGGUGAAUUAUGGGAGUUGUAGUGAGGGCUGAUAAUAGUGGGUGCAGGUGAAUUAUGGGAGUUGUAGUGAGGGCUAUUGUGAAGCUGAAUGAACAUGGUGAGAUUACCCCUCAUCAUGUUCCUCAUUAUCCCAUGGCCUGGCACACUAUUGCCUCAGAGCUGGCACACACACAGCACCUUCAGGAACAGUGUCAGACCUCCUGCCCCACCACCAGCCACCAUUGUUGUUCCCCUCGUCUGUGUGAGUAAGUGAUCAGCCGUGAAAUUCAGCUCUCAUGCUGACACUGCUGGAAUCCAGCCCAGUAGCAGCAGCAGCAACAGCAGCCCAGCAGCAGGAGUUCUGUGGAUUUAAGCCCUUUUUUUGGAAAAAAAAA